CAGAAUCUCAGAGGCAGGAGGGAACUCACAGCCUGUCUAGGCCACCUAGUUCAGCAGUGACUGACCAGCACCUCCAACAAUCCCAUUUCUGCUGAUUACUACCAGUGAGACUUUGGACAAGCUGCAAUCCCCUACCAGCACUGCUUCUUUUUAGACUUCAACACCAUAUCUCAGCUGCAGUCCCACCCUGGAUUUUCCCUCAAGGCCUGAGACCUCUUUUCUCUGGAAUAUCCAUCAACUCCCAUGGCCAUAUUACCCUGGAAUAUCCUUCUGCUAUGCUGACCCUCCUCUACCACAGUGAUCCAGGACAAUUCCGAAGGUCUUAUGACAAUUCUGAAGCACUCAUCUCUGUCUCUGGAGAAAGAACUGAUGGAGUCUGAAUGCAGAUUGAAGCAUACUUUUUUUUUUUUACU